AUUUAUAUCCUCUCAUUCCCCCACUCUUAUCAAAGAAGUCUUCAGAGUAGAGGAAACAAAAGAAAAAAGGCUUUCAGCCAAUUCCAUAUGUAUUAGCAGAGCUGCAAGCCUGCAACGCCAUGGGGCUGCAGCAGUAUCUAUUACAGUCUUCAGAUGUCAUGCACCACUGAUGGUUGAAGCUGCCAGCAUGAUCUAGUCCUUCCUUUUUAAUUUGUUUACCUUUCAGGGGGAGAGACCAGAUCAUAUGACAGCUUCAUCUGUCCAUGGUAGCAUGAAGAAAACCCUUGCUUAGCCAAAAAAAAUAGAGCAUGAAGAAAACCCUAAUGAAACCAUCAAGAACCCGAAUUUCCUCAUUGGAUUAUUUGCCGGCAACCUUAUUAAUUAGGGUUUUUUCUCACUGGAAACCUCUUGAAAAAGGUCAAAAAAGAGGUGGGACGAUGGGUCACAAGGGUCAACCCUGUACUGGCAAAACUGAUCAUGCGCAAAAGAGUAACUCUCUCUGUCCCUUUGUGGUCCUAUAUAUAGAAUUGAUUUCUUCUUUGGGAGAAAACUAUCAAAUUUGUAAUGAUUUUUUGUUCUCUCUAAGUUCUCAAAAAUUGUUGCUGGAGUACAUUCUGAUUAGACUCAGUCAACUUUCUACGCCGUGAUUGUCAUGCCA